GGUGCCAGUGAUGGGUCAGUGGCAGCAAGGCGCGGGCCCUCUGGCCCUGAAGUAGUGGCCGGUAAGAGGGAGGGGGACCCUGAGACCGGGUCUGUGAGGGUGGGACGCCUGCAUGACCCCUCCGUCAGGGGCAGCUAGGUGCGGACCUCCGCAGCUCCCUAGGCAUUCCUCUUGUAGGAACAAGGGUGCCAAUGUCCUGGAGGCCAGGA